AUUGAACGCUGGCGGUAUGCCUUACACAUGCAAGUCGAACGGUAGAGGGGCAACCCUUGAGAGUGGCGAACGGGUGAGUAAUACAUCGGAACGUGCCCAGUCGGGGGGGAUAACGUAGCGAAAGUUACGCUAAUACCGCAUACGUCCUGAGGGAGAAAGCGGGGGACCGUAAGGCCUCGCGCGAUUGGAGCGGCCGAUGUCGGAUUAGCUAGUUGGUAGGGUAAAGGCCUACCAAGGCGACGAUCCGUAGCGGGUCUGAGAGGAUGAUCCGCCACACUGGGACUGAGACACGGCCCAGACUCCUACGGGAGGCAGCAGUGGGGAAUUUUGGACAAUGGGCGAAAGCCUGAUCCAGCCAUGCCGCGUGAGUGAAGAAGGCCUCGGUGUAAG
rnacentral:rRNA from 1 species